rnacentral:rRNA from 1 species
UACGAAGGGGGCUAGCGUUGCUCGGAAUCACUGGGCGUAAAGGGUGCGUAGGCGGGUCUUUAAGUCAGGGGUGAAAUCCUGGAGCUCAACUCCAGAACUGCCUUUGAUACUGAAGAUCUUGAGUUCGGGAGAGGUGAGUGGAACUGCGAGUGUACAGGUGAAAUUCGUAGAUAUUCGCAAGAACACCAGUGGCGAAGGCGGCUCACUGGCCCGAUACUGACGCUGAGGCACGAAAGCGUGGGGAGCAAACAGG